AAGUGGGGGAUAACGUAGCGAAAGUUACGCUAAUACCGCAUAUGCCCCAAGGGGGAAAGGGGGGGAUCGCAAGACCUCUCGCUUUCGGAGUGGCCGAUAUCGGAUUAGCUAGUAGGUGGGGUAAAGGCCCACCUAGGCGACGAUCCGUAGCUGGUCUGAGAGGACGACCAGCCACACUGGAACUGAGACACGGUCCAGACUCCUACGGGAGGCAGCAGUGGGGAAUUUUGGACAAUGGGCGCAAGCCUGAUCCAGCCAUACCGCGUGAGUGAAGAAGGCCUUCGGGUUGUAAAGCUCUUUCAGACGGAAAGAAACGGUCGCGGCGAAUACCCGCGACUAAUGACGGUACCGUAAGAAGAAGCACCGGCUAACUACGUGCCAGCAGCCGCGGUAAUACGUAGGGUGCGAGCGUUAAUCGGAAUUACUGGGCGUAAAGCGUGCGCAGGCGGUUUGGUAAGACAGAUGUGAAAUCCCCGGGCUUAACCUGGGAACUGCAUUUGUGACUGCCAGACUAGAGUGUAGCAGAGGGGGGUAGAAUUCCACGUGUAGCAGUGAAAUGCGUAGAUAUGUGGAGGAAUACCGAUGGCGAAGGCAGCCCCCUGGGCUAACACUGACGCUCA
rnacentral:rRNA from 1 species